UACUUUGAUAUCCUAGAGAAAGUGGUCUUACAUCUUUCUUCCUGGCCCCGCACCCCAUAUCCCUGUCCAGAGGGUACACAGACAUCUAUGGAAUCUUAGAGGCCACGGGACUCACCCCAGGACACAUACACACGUACAUAAUCAGAUCUCCAUACAGACAGGCACAGAUAUAGUCUCUCUCACACACGACCCACUCAAACCCAUUAUAUACAGUCAUGACCCUCACAAUCACACACAUGCUGUCAGGGCCCCAGGCAGCCAGGCUGGCACUCAGUGAUAAAGUCAGCCCUUGUGCUCAGUCCUAAAAUUAGCUGUGUGCUGUGGGGUGGGGAGUCUGAGGAGGAAGGCACCUAAACUUGGAUAGCUCUUGCCCUGGAUGAGGAAGACUGACUCAGAAUCCCAAGACAACAUUCCACCUCAAUUUCAGAGGGAAGACAAUGAACCAAAUCUGUGCUAGGAUAAAGCUUGAAUGGACUGGGAGAGCUUCUCCUCACUCCUCUCUGCCUAGCUUGACAGGCCUAGGACUAGAGAAGCUGCUUUAAAUAAGUGUCUCUCUUUAUUUCAAGAACCAACCCUAAAACCUACCAGUGGAUGGCAUGGCCCAUCUCCUCCCCCAGGCCUUUGAGCCUCGGCCCAGCCUCCAGGCUUCAAGGCCUCUCAUCAGCUCUCAUUUGCUUCCCCACUG
rnacentral:lncRNA from 1 species